UCGGGGUGUGGUUUCCUUUACUUCUGGGAGCAGCGACUGACAGAAAUGGCAAGGAGGUUGAGCUUACCACAGAAUUCGCACAUGUCUCCAGAAGACUUCUGUGAACCUUAAGGGAGAUAUGCCCCUUGAUUGGAGUGAGAACAAGGAGCAAGCACAUGGAGGAAUGACAUUAAGUGACUGGGAAGAGUUUUUGAUGGAAAAAGAAGACUGAUCCAGAGGCCAGCUGGGACACAGUCUAGGUGACAGCCUGUGUGAUCACCAAUGGGUAAAAACAGCUGAGAUUGGGUUCUGAAGCCAGCGAGUUCUAGCUCCAUCAGUAACUAGACAGAUGCCAAGAGCUGACUCUGGGCACAGACUACUUAACAGGCCACAUUAGGGGUGUGAGGCUGUACCAAGAGUUCCAGCUGGAGAUAACAGGU
rnacentral:lncRNA from 1 species